AUUGAACGCUGGCGGCAGGCCUAAUAAAGGCAAGAAGAGCGGAGCGGCGGACGGGUGAGUAAUGCCUAGGAAUCUGCAUGGUAGUGGGGGAUAACGUCCGGAAACGGGCGCUAAUAUCGCAUAAUAUAAGAUGAGCCUAGGUCGGAUUAGCUAGUGGGGGGGGUAAAGGCCUACCAAGGCGACGAGCCGUAACUGGUCUGUGAGGAUGAUCAGUCAAUCUUGAACUAAGACACAUUCCCGACUCCUACGGGAGGCAGCAGUGGGGAAUAUUGGACAAUGGGCGCCGACCUUAUCCAGCCAUGCCGCGUGUGUGAAUCCGGUCUUCAGAUUGUAAAGCACUUUAAGUUGGGAGGCUUUACCAACAGAAUAAGCACCGGCUAACUUCGUGCCCGCAGCCGCGGUAAUAC
rnacentral:rRNA from 1 species